AUUGAACGCUGGCGGCAUGCCUUACACAUGCAAGUCGAACGGCAGCACGGGUGCUUGCACCUGGUGGCGAGUGGCGAACGGGUGAGUAAUAAAUCGGAACAUGUCCUGUAGUGGGGGAUAGCCCGGCGAAAGCCGGAUUAAUACCGCAUACGAUCUACGGAUGAAAGCGGGGGACCUUCGGGCCUCGCGCUAUAGGGUUGGCCGAUGGCUGAUUAGCUAGUUGGUGGGGUAAAGGCCUACCAAGGCGACGAUCAGUAGCUGGUCUGAGAGGACGACCAGCCACACUGGGACUGAGACACGGCCCAGACUCCUACGGGAGGCAGCAGUGGGGAAUUUUGGACAAUGGGCGAAAGCCUGAUCCAGCAAUGCCGCGUGUGUGAAGAAGGCCUUCGGGUUGUAAAGCACUUUUGUCCGGAAAGAAAUCCUUGGCCCUAAUACGGUCGGGGGAUGACGGUACCGGAAGAAUAAGCACCGGCUAACUACGUG
rnacentral:rRNA from 1 species